rnacentral:rRNA from 1 species
AUUGAACGCUGGCGGCAGGCUUAACACAUGCAAGUCGAGCGGGGUGAUGGCGCUUGCACUAUCACUUAGCGGCGGACGGGUGAGUAAUGCUUAGGAAUCUGCCUAUUAGUGGGGGACAACAUCUCGAAAGGGAUGCUAAUACCGCAUACGUCCUACGGGAGAAAGCAGGGGAUCACUUGUGACCUUGCGCUAAUAGAUGAGCCUAAGUCGGAUUAGCUAGUUGGUGGGGUAAAGGCCUACCAAGGCGACGAUCUGUAGCGGGUCUGAGAGGAUGAUCCGCCACACUGGGACUGAGACACGGCCCAGACUCCUACGGGAGGCAGCAGUGGGGAAUAUUGGACAAUGGGGGGAACCCUGAUCCAGCCAUGCCGCGUGUGUGAAGAAGGCCUUAUGGUUGUAAAGCACUUUAAGCGAGGAGGAGGCUCUUUUGGUUAAUACCCAAGAUGAGUGGACGUUACUCGCAGAAUAAGCACCGGCUAACUCUGUGUCAGCCGCCGCAGUAA